AUAUUCAUAUUCACUAUCAGGUACCUGAAACCCUAAUUUUGUUUUCAUCCCCAUUUUUUAACAAAAGUGUUCGUCCACAAUUUUUUGACAUCAAUACAACAUUCAUAUUCAUCUUCAUAUUCUUUGCCUACACACUUGCUGUUCAGGCUUAAGACGGUUCCUUCGAACACGCCGACAACCCUCCAAAUUGACAUGGCAAGAAGAGAGGUACGUUUGAGAGCACCACCCCUUCCCACUUUUCAGAACUAAGUUGGGUAAAGAAAUAAAAAAACAUUUGAAAUCGAUGAAGCAAAUGGAAACACCACUCUCAACCGGGAAGCGCAAACGCGAAAUUGGAACCCUAAACCAGAAAACUCAAAACGAAAAUCUUCAAAGAAAUUCAAGAGCGUGACUUCCAGCUUCCUGAUCGUUAAGAUGGAAUUCUCGGCUGAGGAUGAAGCCAAAAUUGAGAGCUAGAGAAAGGUGUUGAUGGGUUGUUUGAAAGCUUUGCAAGGUUGGAUUCACGUAUUUCAAGUGUUGGUCAGACAGCUGCAAAGAUAGGAGAUCAUCUCCAAGUAGGGAGCUGUGUUCUUCCACCCUUCCAGUGCUUCCACUAUAUUUUGAUAGAAGAAAUGUGAUCUCACGUUUACUUGUAUUCUAAUGUUUUAUUGGUUGGUUAAAUUAUCCUUUUUGUUUGAAAUAUAAUUUCAUUUGCAAUUCUGUUUUUUUGUCAGAGUGCAGAUGCUCAGCGAGAAACUGCCAGUCAAACUAUUGAGCUGAUAAAAGUAAAAAUCAGCCAAUUCAUUUGUGGUUUAUACCCAUCAUUCAUGUUGGAAAAUUUACCUUAUGGUUGAUUAAUUUCUACAGUACUUAAUGGAGUUCAAUAGCAGCCCUGGUGAUUUGAUGGAGCUUUCUCCUCUUUUUUCUGAAUAGUUAAGGGAGCGGAGGUUAGACAUAUUUCCUGUUAAAACUGAUAUAAACUUAUAAUGUCAUUCAAGAAUUUACAUGAAUGACAAAGUACAUGGUUGAGGAUCUAAAAUUUUUGUGAUCCUCCAGUAGCUGAUUUACUCUGUCUAGGUGGAAUUUCAUAGAAAAUUUUAUUAAUUGAUGAUGUUUAUUGAUUUCAGUUCUUGUUAAGUAGGUUUUUACUAUAGGGAUACUAAUUAGGCUUGUUGAUCACACAUGCAUCUCUAUGGUCUUCUUGCAUGCAAUGUAUUCUUUUACACCUUACAACAACAAUACAAAUUGACUUUACUUAACACACAAGAUAAUGUUUGAAAUUUUCCCCUUAACAAGGUCUUUGGGCUUGUGUUCUGCUUUUAUCCUUUCUGUGCUUUUUCUAUUGAAAUCCAAAUAUAUAAUGUCUGGUUUUGGUGAUUAGUAGAUUGUUAUUUUCUUUACAUUUUUAGAAAAAUUCCACUGUUGUCAAUUAGUGUUCAGUAGCUAGUUGAGUUACCGCAUUCAUGUUAGUCAUUCAUGUUAAUCAAUAGAGCUGUAUGAUAUUGAAUCUUUUUAUACACAUAGUGAUUUGAUCUCUUGUGAGAUCAUUUAGAAAAUAUAAUUGCACAAUGAUGUGUUUAUUCACCCACUCAAAUUUUAGACAGCUUUAUAGCAGAUCAACCAUAAAUCGAUCGAGAAUAUGAAGAAUAUCAUAUUUGUAAGUUAUCUAAUUCUUCUAUAGGAAAGCUAGUAGAAUUGUCUUGUUGUCCACCAGUAUUCCAAAGGAAACUAGCAUACUUUGACAGAAAAUAAGUGUUGCCAGGAUCUGAUUCCAAUGCUUGUAGAUAUCUCAAUUCUGCUACCAUUUGAUUUGAUGUAAUUUUGUGAUGUUUGUUUCGAACCGGUAAUCUACGAGCUACUUAAGAACCUAUCACUUAUCUUUACAUAUUUUUUUCUUAGGUGUAUUUGAAUAAUUUGUGGGUGUAGGUUUACAGCGUCAGUUGCAGGAACCUGUCCACCGUACGAUCUCGAGGUUCCACCGUAAAUUAAAUUGGUUCAAUAUUUCUUUGUUGGUGUAAAGGUAUUGUUCCAUCUACUUGGAGAUCCUAUAACUCACGACGAUACCUCUACCCGUAUGAACAUUAUUGGAUGUCACACGAUUCUGUUAGAAAUAUGAUGCUCAUAGUGCCGGCGUCGUCCUCCUGUUGGCGGCGAAGUGUACGAUAUUGAACAUUCAAGAGAAGUGUCUUCAUUAAAAUAUUCGUAGAGAAGCUUGCGCUUCAUUUGUUCAAUGGAGAUGUUCAUCAAGCAGCAUACCGUAUCCUGUCAGAUUUUAGAAAUGGUAGGUUUGGUUGGACUGCAUUGGAGAGGCCUCCUAGGUGAUGUCAAAUGUUUGCUUUUAGAAGCAACACCCUGAAGCUAGAAUUGAAAAUUAUGCUGGAGAUUUCCAGGAGCAAACCGAAAAGCCAAGAUUUCAAGCAGCAUACCGUAUCCUGUCAGAUUUUAGAAAUGGUAGGUUUGGUUGGACUGCAUUGGCUUUUCCUUUUUUUUUGAAGUAGUGAAUGAAAAGCCAAGCUUGUUGUAUCAGGUUGAUUCCACGGGUUAUUUUGUUUGUUAUUAUUGUGUCAAAAUACUCUUUGAUGCACGUCUGAUAUGCAAGCAACUAUGUGUAAAUUUUAGGAA